CAUCACUGCCUGGGAGCCAGCCAACCGUAAGUGACAGCCCUGAGCAAAUUCAACCCCUCUGUAAGCUGUGGUUGUAUAAGCUCUGUGAUGGUGUUGGUCCGGGUUGGUCCAGAGCUCAGAGCUGCCACCAAAGCCAUCCUGGUUGCUCGGGCAGGGCAGAUGCCCUUUCUGUUUGGUCCUUGUGAACUCCAGACCUCACCUUUCCCACCUCAAACCCUUGGCACCCACAGUGGAGAACUCGGGGUCCCACUAGAGGGCAGUUCCAGCCCAAAGAUCUCCUUUGCAGCCUGAAGCAGCGCUGGUGGUGGGGAACGUCUCCGCCCAGCACCAGGAGGCCCAGCACCUCCUGCUCGGUGAGGGCUCUGGGACAGCAGGUUCCCUUGCAGUUCCUUUGUGGUUUCUUCUGCCCGUGGAUUCGGCCCGGGGGGCCCCACCAGCGCUCAGCAGCAGUCCUCCAGGACAGAAAGCAGUGUGGAAGCCACCCUGACACCUGACUGCUCAUCGCUCAGAGCCAUUUCUGUGGUGGUGGUAGGGGAUGCUUUUUUAAGACAAGGACAGUUUUCUUCACUUCUGGGGCUAUCACAGCUGGGAACGAGGCUGCUGGCUACCUCUCUUCUUGGGGCACCCACUUCGU